UUUUUUCCUUACAAUAAUUUUAUUCCAAUUAUUUCCAGGACAUGGUCUAGGACCAUGAUGACAGUUUGGAAGGUGAUUUGAACAUGUUUGAUUUCUCCCAAGUGAAGUAAAUUUUACAAUAUUGGCAGGCUUCAAGAAAAGAUUUUUACCCUUAUACCUUACUCAGAUCUUCUCUGUGACCUAUGAAGAAUAUUGUUGGCACUCAAAGACUACUGAUCUGUACACAAUUAGCCUGUGGCCUCAUUAAUUUCUUUCAUAGAAGAAAGUGAUAGAAGAAAAAGGGGAAGGAAAGAGAG
rnacentral:lncRNA from 1 species